AUUUAUUUUUAUUUUGACAGCAAGCUCGUGUGCUCUUAUCUCGUGGCUGGAGGGUUAGGGGAGGGGUCGCGGGCGGAGGUCGUGGCUGCGAACGGCAACAACGACCCGCCGCACCAUCACGAGCAAGCACGCGGCCUGCGACUGCAAUGUGGCGGCGCGGGCCGGGCCGCCCCCUCCGCCCACCUUGACUAGUGUCACGUGCGGCGGUUUCAGGACCGUUAUUCCAAGAGGCGACCCACCAGUUUUCUUGGGUAAAAAGUUUAGGGGAAGGAUAAGUCAGUGUUGCCAGAAAUCUAUGGAAUGAAGUGUCUCCCUGGAUUGCCCAGAAACUGUUAGUCUGUUUUUUCAAGCUCGUAUUCGGCGCCUCAGCUGCAGAAGUGUCAACUGCCACCAUCCCUGGAGACGAGGACACUCAGGGAUGAUGAGUAAUUUGGCCUGUGGGAGACCAGACGGUGUUAACGG